UAGAAUGCAGAAAGAAGGGUGUGUCA
rnacentral:piRNA from 1 species